rnacentral:misc_RNA from 1 species
AACGAGGCCGACCUGCGGCUGAGUUACCUGCGGAGGGAUCAUUACUGAAUUGAUUUUGGGGAUGUUGCUGGUCUCUUGAGGCAAUGGUGCACUCCCUCAAACAUUUCACAAUUUCCAUCUCACCCAUGUGCACAUCCUGUAGGUGGUCUCCCAACCCCCCCCCACCUUUCCUUGGGGGAGUGUGUGGGUCUGGUCUCCUAUGUAUUUCCUUGCCAACAUCACACGUUUUGACUGAUGAAU